rnacentral:rRNA from 1 species
GAUCAUGGCUCAGGACGAACGCUGGCGGCGCGCCUAACACAUGCAAGUCGAACGGAGAUUACAGGCGGAAGUUUUCGGAUGGAAGCUUGUAAACUUAGUGGCGGACGGGUGAGUAACACGUGAGCAACCUGCCUAUCAGAGGGGGAUAACGAUUGGAAACGAUCGCUAAUACCGCAUGACAUAGCGGAACCGCAUGGUUCUGUUAUCAAGAUUUAUUCGCUGAUAGAUGGCUCGCG